rnacentral:rRNA from 1 species
UACUCUUGACAUCCAGAGAAUUCGCUAGAGAUAGCUUAGUGCCUUCGGGAACUCUGAGACAGGUGCUGCAUGGCUGUCGUCAGCUCGUGUUGUGAAAUGUUGGGUUAAGUCCCGCAACGAGCGCAACCCUUAUCCUUGUUUGCCAGCACAUAAUGGUGGGAACUCCAGGGAGACUGCCGGUGAUAAACCGGAGGAAGGUGGGGACGACGUCAAGUCAUCAUGGCCCUUACGAGUAGGGCUACACACGUGCUACAAUGGCGUAUACAGAGGGCUGCAAGCUAGCGAUAGUGAGCGAAUCCCACAAAGUACGUCGUAGUCCGGAUUGGAGUCUGCAACUCGACUCCAUGAAGUCGGAAUCGCUAGUAAUCGUGAAUCAGAAGGUCACGGUGAAUACGGACCCGGGCC